CUUGUCUGAUUAACUAUAAACAGGUAUUUUAACGGGAAAUAGCUCAUUAUUGCUAGAAGCUCAGACUUUGUAUUCCAUUAAAUAAACAGUAAGAUAAGACAUAUGGUGUCCAUUUUCACAUUAGACUAAGAUGUCUUGUUAUUUCUUAGGUGGGCAAAUUGCUUUUUCUUUCGCGUUAGUUAUAAUUGUCUGUAAGUCAAUUGUCAAAGCUAUUGGCUGUUAGGGGCACUUGUGAAUCAUGGAUUGUUCCAGCCGGCUUUUGCAGGCUCUUUAGUCCCACACCCUCCCUCUACAGCUGGGGAGGCUGAAGCCCAGGACAGCGUUUGGGUCAGAGCCAAGUAGCGAGUAGGUGCCAGGGUCACUGGUUCGAGCUCUCUGCACUCAUCCAGGACUAUUUCCAGGCAUCUUCCUGUAUUUCUCAGCAUGAGCCUUGAACGUCUAGACCAGGAAAGCCCAGGGCAAGGGGCUGGGAGCCCAGUGCCAGGCCUUUUCCUUCACUUAGGAGCACUGACCGACUCCUCUCUGUUGAGGUGUGCAGUCGCUCCUUUCCUGUCUGCCACAGGGCGUUUAUCAACUCAUGUUGACGUCAGCAGGGAUGCAAGAAUGCAGAAGCCCCAAAUCUGGGGCAAUAGGAUAAAUUUGGGAAGUAGCAUUUAAAUUCUUUCUGAGGGAAAACACAGUUUACAGAUUGCACUCAGCAGUAACAGGAUUCCCCCGUCGGGUGCUAUCACUUCCUAUGAAUGGGGCCCUGGAGGUCAGGGAUAAAAGGGCCUCCCUUUUUGUAACUGGGGGUUCCUUAGGCUUUUUUUUCCUCUUUAUGACUCAUUCUGAUGUGCCUUUAGGAAAAAAAAAUAACCUGACUCCUGAGUGCUUUGGUUAGAGCUUUCAAUCUUUAGGGCGCAAAGCACCUGGGAUCUUGUUAAAAUACAGAUUCUGAUUGAGCUGGUCUGGGGGGGCCUGGGAGUCUGCAUUUCUAACAGGCCGCCAGGGUGCCUGAGCGCAAACCUCACUCUGACUAGCAGAGCUUUAAUGGAGACCCUCAGUGGUUCAUCUCUCCAGCUCCUCCUGUGCGUGUGAGUUUUAAUUUAAUGCGGUGCCUGAGAGGGAAUUGAAAUAAUUCCUUCUGAGAACCUUGUCUUUUUUUUGGCUGAAUUAUUUGUGUGCUUUUAAUGAUAUGCAUGGCAGAACGCCCCACAGUUCUAUUUCUUUAGCCCUAUUUCUUUUUAAGUGUUGUGAAAGCGACGACAGUAACACUGCUUCAAUUUCUGAGUACAAUUCUUUAGGAUUUUGAAUGUAGACGGUGAGAGCCUAUUACUAAUCCAUGUUAAGAGCAGUCUAAGAAAAACCGCCAAGGAGUUUCAUAAAUGGUUAUCUCAGGCAAGUCCUUGGAGACCCUUCCUAGUUUAAAACAAAAAUACAAAUUGGUUCUACAAAGCAAGCAUAUCAGGGAGGAAAAAUGUGACGCCGGCAUGUUGGUUCCUGAUGUUACAGAUGCAUUCAAAAGCAUAUGAGGGAGAACAGACAUGUUUUUUACAAUACUGGGUUGUUGAUUUUUCUGCAGUAUAUCGGUUUGUUUUUUGAAAGGAUUCUUGGCUCCUUGAUGCUGUUCUUGCGUGAGUGGGGGUUGUGCGAUGACAGGACGCGGCCAGCUCAGGGUGGAGAGCCCAAGGCCCUGGAGGAAUGUGCUGUGUUAACAUCCGAAGGCACCAGAGCAACUGUACAUCACUUGAUGACGUGCUGGGUCACAGCUGGGGACAUUUACCAAGCCUGGUGAACACAACUGUUACACAGGGGUUUCAGCUAACACCAUUAGUGUUUUCCUUAUCAGCAAAGCAGUAUCAACAAGAAUUAGUUGUCUGCUGAACCAUAGAAAUAGCCUCAGUUUCUAAGGAGAGGAUGGUUGAGAAAAAUAACGAUAGUGAGAAGAGGAAGGCAGCCAGUCAUGGUGAAUAAGCCAAAUGCAUCUUUUAAAGACUUCCUCGACGUAUUCCACCCUUCCUCUCAGACAGUGGUCAAGAAUUGGCACCGUCCAGAAGACAAACAUCUUCCGGAGCAGUUACCUUACGCCUUCUACUGAGAAACACACACCGGGCAUUAUGCAAGUAUCAGUGAUGGCUUUGGACUUCGAGAAUUUGUGGCUUUUGGAGCUUGGUGAAAAUAACUUUUUUUAUCAUCUAUAAUCCAGUCAAAAGAUGAGUUUCAUCAUUUGUGAGAAUAUUUAGGCACAUUUAGUCAUUUGAGGAGUCAGGCAAGGAUGAAGGGUCUUCUUUUACUCCCUCUUUGUGGAAAUUUCUAGUAAUUCAAAGGCCAAAAUUUGACUGUGGAUGGCUCUUUUGGAAAUGGCUGGAUAUUACUGAUUUGCUUUUGUUAUCAUCGGAUGUCUUUCAAGGUAGUACAGUGAGUAAAACGCAUUUAAAAAACAUUUAAUCUCCUGCUACAACCUCUAUCUCUCAACUUGCAGAAAAUGUUGUCUUCAGUUUCAGAUGAUGAAUAUGCUCCUGUUUUCUGUAGACCGGCUCUGUCAAUGUUCACAUGGCUUUGGCUUCGUAGGAUGUCUGUGUUGUAACUGCUGUUUCAUCAAAAUGUGAAAUUGACCCUUUUUCUUUCUAAGUGUUCAGAAACCAGCAUACAGAUGAGAAAGGUUUCUGAGAACACAGUGGCGUACACCCAGAUCACAGCCUGCUGACGAGAUUCUGGCUCCUGUGUGUGGUCUAUUAAAGGGGGCAGUGAGCAAACCUAAAGUGCCUUUAAAAAUUAAUUCUGCAAAUAUUUUAAGUCUUUUAUCAAUGCCCAGUUGGGCUCUUGCUUCUGAAAUGGUCUUUUCAGCUGCAUUAGCACAAGUGAAAGUUUAUAAUUCCAAUCCCAAGACAAUGUCUUUUCUUCCAAGAAGGCUGAUCUCAGAGAGCUGAAUACACAACCCCCAUGCUAGACAUUUCCAUUGUCUUUUGAACCGUUCUCUUCCUGAACUAACCCCAGAUCUCAAAAGACAAGUGUCUUCGCUCGUUGGCAGGUGGAAUGGCUCAUGGUCAUCAAAGAGAACCUUGUGAAAGGAAUUCCCCUCGCCUAGGAAAGCUUCCUGAUUUUCCCCAGCAGCAGAUUCCUCCGUGAUGCUGGCUCACAUCAGCAUCAAGAUAAUGUGAUAAACUUCCAGCACAAGCCAUGUGGCUCUGUCAUCGCUCUUCUUCUCAUUCAUGUCAACAGAGGGUGAAAAAAUAUUCAAUUGGCUCUCACAGUCUUGGGGAUGAUUUAUUCCAUAUCAAAAGAGAAAGUGGGAAAGAAGCAAGGUAUAUUUAGUAGCAGGAAUUUCACCUACGGGGAUGCAAAUUCCUUAUUAUUUCAGACUUCUGCAUUAUAUUUAAGGGAUGGCAGAAGACAGGAAAACAGUUUAGAAAGAACCACAAAUCUUUUAUGUUUAAAUUCAAAGUUUUCAUUGAGGGGAGGAAAAAGGGCAAAAAGCACUGAAUGAGGAGUGAGUCUACCUGAAUUUGAGACCCCAUAAUGCUGUUCUCUGUAUUGUUGAGCAAGGUGCUAUAAACAGCAGGACCCGUUGGUUCGCAGUACUGACUGCACAUUAAGAUCUCAGGAUGGGAGCAGGCCUCAGGAGUGCCAAAAAGCUCCCCAGCUGAUGCUAAUGUGCAGCCACAGUUGAGCCAGCCGCUGCUCCAGCAGCUCACAGAAGUUUACUGAGGGAAUGAAUAUAUUUAUUUUCUGAGUCGUAUUUUCCUUAUCUUUAAAACAUGGCUAAUAAUGUCCUCUACAUCAGGCCAUUGUCAGGAUAAAACAAAAUCAUGCACUGACAGCAUUUCAGCAAUUGAGGUCAUUUACAGAUUUAAGCCACCAUAAUUUGUCUUUAUCCUUUCCAGUUUUCUAAAAAUUAAAAUUCCCAAGUAAAUUCUUGAAAACCACUUUUAGCCUUUUCUAAGGGGGAAAUUUCAAAGCGAUUCAUCUAGUUUUCUACGUUUAAAAUAACUGCACCCCACAUUCAUAUGGAUUUUUAUGUGCAUUUACAUUUUAACAUAAAAUUGAUUUUACUUCUUUUGCUAAGCCUUCCAAGGCUGUGCCUAGGCAGAAACUCAAACAGCAGAAUCAAGAAUCCACCUGGGUUUUAGACAUUUCUGAAUAGUGUGUGCAGAGCAUGGAGAAUCAACGAAAGAUCUCAAAUGAGUCAAACAACUGAUUGCCUAUUUGUCACUGGCCUUUACGCAGGGACUUUCCUCUGAAGAGCGGAUGGUGCUGGGUCAAAAACAUCAUCUGGUUAACGUUUCUGCAUCUUUAGAAGUCAUAGGCAAGGACACAAAGCCCUGAUUUGCCAGCAAAGGUGGAACUAGCAUUUCCAGGUAGGGACUGGCAAGGAUUCCCUCGGGAGAAUUCACACCCAGAGAUUCUGACAAUAGUCUUUCUGAAUGACAGGUCAGUAAAGGAAGUGAAGCCAGAUUAAUUUGGGGGGUGUUGUUCUCCCCUGAACGGCCCCAAGUAAAUGCAGUGCGGUAGGAAGAGUUAGUCGGGGGAUUGAUGGAGGCAAGGAUGGACACAGACAUUGGUGGACCACACUGAGCUCAAAUCUACUUGAUUUUCAUGGGCUUCUCAUAACAUUCCUCUGACACAAGAAGGAGGCACAAAUGAAUAGUGUGACUUGGAGUCAGUGGUUCUGCCAUCAACAAAGAAGUCACCAUAGCAACGCAUACGCCUGUGUUAUGCUGCACUCUGCCAGCCUCACGUGACGGACAUGACAGCUGAGAGGAUGCCAGGCACAGCCCGGGGGGAGCCGCAUCUCUGAGCGCGGUACCAGUGAUUUGGUGACUCCCUGUCAAGACUACCAUGUUGCACUGCCCCAGGAGCCAUAGACUGCAGUGCAAGUGGCAUCCCCUGGAGUUGUGCAGUGCACAGCCUGACUAACACAAGUGUCCCUCACUUUGGAGAACAGUGACAGGGCUUGAAGAGCAUUAGAGAGGAAAGAUGAUCUGAUCAAAGCAAACCCCUCGAAUCAGCGUUCAGAAUGAUGAACUUCAGCUCACAAAAGCUGUGGUGCACUUGCCGAUGUGCAACCCACCUAGAACCCCAGAGUGGGCAUGAGGAUUCUUUUAAACUGGGGACAUCUGGGAUUCACCAGAUGCAGAAAGAAGUCUUUCUGGAGUUUCUCUUAUCUGAUUAAAAGUAGAAACUUCUGAGAAAUGAAGCUGCCAUAAAUUCCCUCUUCUGAGUGCCUUUUAAUCCCAGGAAGGAGACCAAGAGAAAACCUACCAUGAAUCCCCAUUCCAGGGGAGCUUUACGGCCUGGAGGAAGACAGAGAGACCACCCACACCUGCAUCAACAAGCAUUAUCACAAGCCGUCCUCUCUCUCCUUUGUUCUUUUAGAAACCCAUUUGUAUUUCCCAUACAGGCCUUUUCUCCUUUCCCUUUUCCUUACUAAGCAAGGUAUAGAAGCUCUAAUUUUAGCCAUUUAUUCAGCUACUUCUUUUGUAAGCUCCCAUAUGCAUAGGAAUAAACAUUUUUCCCUGUUAACCUGUAUUUAUCAGCUUGAUUUGCAGUCCCCACUUACUGAACCUGAGAGGGGAAAGUUUUUCUUCCCUGAGACUACCCACUGGAGGCUGCUAUUAAGUAACCUUCUCUGGUGUCUAUGUCUUUCUCUGUCCCCUGUCCAGCCCCCUGCUCCCUAUUCUCUCUCAUGUUCCUAUUCACCUAAAAGAGAAAAGUCAAAUCGCUAAAAGAAAAAAUCAAAAAUUCGCAUCUAGAUAUUUUUGAAACUCGUCUCUCGGCGGCCGUCUUAGACCGAAUAUGCUCACGGCCUCCUGUAGCGGGUACCUGCGUCCUCAUGCAGCAGAAGGACGUGUGUUUCAUGGAUCAUGCCUUAUUUCCAUCCACUCUGGUAUUUGGAAAAAUUUAUCUGAGAAAUCUUUGUUCCUGUGUAGCCCUGACAUAAGUCUUUUCUCAUCUCAUAUUUUCAUUCCUACUUUUUUUCUUUCAGCAUUAGGAAUGCUUUCCUUUGUUUAAGCCUGUGCAUGAGGAAAAACCAGCCUGCUGUGUAAUCCUAACAAUAUUCAUAAAAGGGAAUUCUUGAUAAGUACCCUUGGCACACAGCACCCCUCAUCAUGUUGUAGGAAUCCAUGUGUGAGGAACAAAGCUGCUUGUUUAGUCUGUAAAUUGGCUAUUCUGACAACGGGGCAAUUUUGGCUUCUUUUGAAGCUUUACAAAGCUUUGCAGCGCAAAUCCUAGCAAGGAUUCUCAAUGAUGAGACUGCACUGAAGACAAUAAAUCCCAUGCACGGGGCUGGAAUACGCAUAAAGCAAUCAAAUGUACCACGUUCACGUGACGAACUGUUACAAAUGAGCAGUUAAGGUCGGGGGGGGGGGAUUGGAAGGCUUUACUGGACCUUCAAGCAUCACAGCAAAUUGUGUCUAAUAUAAUAACCACAUUGUUAAUAUUAUUGCAGCUAAGCCUUUUUAAAGCUUGCUACCUGUCUACGACUGUGCUAAGUGCUUUAAAUACAUUGUCUCACGAGGAAUUCUAUGAAUUAGGUCUUAUUAAUUCCAUUUCAGACAUGGGGAAACUGAGGAACGAUUAUGAAACCUGCCGGUGAGAGGCAAUGAUGGGAUUGGUACCCAGGCCCCACCACCACCUUGCCUCCCACCUCUUUCUCUUCCCAUCUUUAGCAUCAGCAACAUCCCACAUUGCUUUGGGGACCCGCUGAAUGUUAGAUUUGAAGGUCACUUAGGGAUCACACCCCACAUUGUCACCUUAUGGGUGACAAAGCAGAGGCUUAGAGAGGUUCCCUGGGUUCCUCAAGGUCAGCUUGCACAGAGUGAGGAGCAGGACUAAAGGCUCGCCACCACUCGUGUUAUGAGAACACUGAAUUUGCAUCCAAUUAAUUUUGCAGCCAACAGCUACAGCCUUUCAAUUUAGCCUGUGCUUUCAAAGUACGUGUCUUAUCAGCAGUAGAAGUGGGAUUUGUAAGCCUAAAUGCACCUCUUAAAAACCACACCGUGCUGGGAGAUGAAUCUUUGUAGUGCUUUAGGUAAAUGGUUUCUCCUGACAUUAGAGCCUGGACUUCGGGGCUGCAAGUGAGAGUCAUAAAGGCAAAAGCGAGGCAGAGAUUUGACUGGAUCUUCCGACAGGCACUUUGCAGACAUCAGUUCGGGCCUCGCAUAAUUCCAUCUGAACCAAGAAGACUCAAGAAUUCCGCGUCCCUUCCCUUCCCUUCUUUCCUUCUGGCACUGAGCAAGAAGGACGGCUGUAACUUCUGAGCACCUGAUGUGUGCUAAGCACUCUGCCAAGAACCCUGCACUCGUGCAUGCCUUCGUGCUCAUAAUCUUCCAUCCAACAACAUUCCUAGCCAGGUGCUGUUUUUCACCCCAUUUUACAGACGAGGAAACUGAGGUUUAAAGAAAUAAAGCAA